GGGAAGUGGUGCCAGUGAAUCAAAGGGUGGGAAAGAGAAGGGAGGGCUUACCUCUAGUGGCUUAACAUUUGAGGAAGGCAAUGACACAUAAGACUUUCAGUUUUAACUAACAACACCUGAAAGCCCACAUGAACUCCUUUGCUAGAAUUUGCUGAAAAAGAAAUUGUAAUCUUCAUUAAGCAGGCUUACAUAGGACAAUAAGAAAUAUGGCUGCAGACCCUUCCCCAAGGAUGCUAAUCACUAAUAAGGGACCAUGUGUCUGCUACAUUGCUUGGACUCCACGCUUGAAUGGUUUCUGGAAGCUCAGCUUCACAGGUCAUUACAAGUACGAAUCAAAGACUGCCUCAGUCGGCUGCAUUAUGAGAUAUCACAAUGCUGUAUUAAAAGCAGCCUUUGCGCAACAUGUAGGCAUGGUCAGCAGCUUUACAAGGGCUCAGUCGACUGCAUUCAGCCGGGCCCUUGAAUUUGCUAAACGUGAAGGUGUCGAUUACCUUGAAAUCGAAGGAAAUCAUCCGUUUGUGUUUCGGAUUAUGUGGGGCGACGUCACCAGAACUAGCUCUGUGAUCAGGGGGCUUGUUAAUAAAUGCAGAUGUGAUUUAAGACAGAUUAGGAGUGUGAGGCUCCGACAUGUCAACAUGUAUGGAAAUUUGGCUGCAAACUUGCUUGCGAGAAUUCCUCUGCAGCCUCAACAAGAGAGGUCUUGGUCCGGAAGAAAUAAGUGGAAUUCUAGUGAGGGAUGUGAUCGGUCGUUGGAUCCCUUUCUCGGACCUAUGAGUGAGUCAUCAUUUGGAUGACACAGAAGGACUUUGUAGAUUUCUUUCUUCAAGGAAAAAUCUAUUUAAGUUGCUUUUCUUUUUUGUUAAGUAGCAGUUUGCGCAUCUUUUAUUUUCAGACAUGAAAUAUUUUAGAUUAGUGAUGAUUGUGAAGCCUUUGAUUUUUCUAA